rnacentral:rRNA from 1 species
UACGAAGGGGGCUAGCGUUGCUCGGAAUCACUGGGCGUAAAGGGUGCGUAGGCGGGUCUUUAAGUCAGGGGUGAAAUCCUGGAGCUCAACUCCAGAACUGCCUUUGAUACUGAAGAUCUUGAGUCCGGAAGAGGUGAGUGGAACUCCGAGUGUAGAGGUGAAAUUCGUAGAUAUUCGGAAGAACACCAGUGGCGAAGGCGGCUCACUGGCCGGUACUGACGCUGAGGUGCGAAAAGCGUGGGGAGCAAACAGG